rnacentral:rRNA from 1 species
AGCAGCCGCGGUAAUUCCAGCUCCAAUAGCGUAUAUUAAAGUUGUUGCAGUUAAAAAGCUCGUAGUUGAAUUUCGGGAUCAGUUUGUUGGUCGUGCUUCGGUACGUACUGUCAUUACUGGUUUCUCCCUUCUGAAGAACCUUGAUGUCAUUAAUUUGGUGUCUUGGGGAAUCAGGACUGUUACUUUGAAAAAAUUAGAGUGUUUAAAGCAGGCAUACGCUUGAAUACAUUAGCAUGGAAUAAUGAAAUAGGACGUUUGAUUCUAUUUUGUUGGUUUCUAGGAUCGACGUAAUGAUUAAUAGGGAUAGUUGGGGGCAUUAGUAUUCAAUUGUCAGAGGUGAAAUUCUUGGAUUUAUUGAAGACUAACUACUGCGAAAGCAUUUGCCAAGGAUGUUUUCAUUAAUCAAGAACGAAAGUUAGGGGAUCGAAGACGAUCAGAUACCGUCGUAGUCUUAACCAUAAACUAUGCCGACUAGGGAUCGGAUGAUGUUAUUUUUAAUGACUCAUUCGGCGCCUUAAC